UACGUAGGGUGCAAGCGUUGUCCGGAAUUAUUGGGCGUAAAGGGCUCGUAGGCGGUUUGUCGCGUCGGGAGUGAAAACCCAGGGCUUAACUCUGGGCUGGCUUUCGAUACGGGCAGACUAGAGGUAUGCAGGGGAGAACGGAAUUCCUGGUGUAGCGGUGAAAUGCGCAGAUAAUCAGGAGGAACACCGGUGGCGAAGGCGGUUCUCUGGG
rnacentral:rRNA from 1 species